rnacentral:rRNA from 1 species
AGGGUGUAAACGCUGCAGACUUGGUGUUGGGAACCCUUCGGGGGUGCUCAGUGCCGGAGAGAAGUUGUUAAGUCUGCUACUUGGGGAGUACGUCCGCAAGGAUGAAACUUAAAGGAAUUGGCGGGGGGAGCACCGCAACGGGAGGAGCGUGCGGUUUAAUUGGAUUCAACGCCGAAAAACUCACCAGCAGCGACUGUUACAUGAAAGUCAGGUUGAUGACCUUACUAGAUUUUCAGAGAGGAGGUGCAUGG